UACAUGUGGGGCGAGCGUUGUUCGGAAUUACUGGGCAUAAAGGGGGCGUAGGCGGCUUGUUAAGUCAGGGGUGAAAGUUUUCGGCCCAACCGGAAAAUGGCCUUUGAUACUGGCGAGCUUGAGUGCGUGAGGGGUGACCGGAACGAGUGGUGUAGCGGUGAAAUGCGUAGAGAUCACUCGGAAGGCCAAAGGCGAAGGCAGGUCACUGGUGCGCAACUGACGCUGAGGCACGAAAGCGUGGGGAGCAAACAGG
rnacentral:rRNA from 1 species